CUUUAUUAAUUUUAUAAUAUUAUUAUAUAUAUUUAAAAAUAAAAAUUAAACUAAAUCCACGUCUUUGCCACUUGUUCAUUCUCCAGUCUCCACGGACUAACUAAACCCCAAAUUCCAAAUGGCAUCACCCUUGCCCGCUAGGAGUCUGAUUCUGAAUAAGAAUUAAUGGAUUCUAUCAAUGGCCUGCUACCGACUGCUACCGACCACCACUGGCUUCUACGGCUUCAAUCCUUGAAGCCCCAUAAGAUUUCACCGAUGAUGCUUCCUUUCACACUCAAAAUUCCAAAUUGCAGCACCACUGGCCUCUACGACUUCGAUCCUUAAAAACUCAAAGGAUUUCACCAUCAUAUUAAUAUUAUAUAUCGAGACAUUGCCACUGUCUUUCUUCUUACGCACAUUAGAGGGUGUUCUCCACCUGUUUUGAACUAUUAGAUUAUACGCACUCUGUUUUCCUUUCUUGGAUUUAGAUUAUUGAUUUCUGUGGAUUUUAGGUUGCUGCUGCACUGCGCAGCAGAACCAACAAAAUGGUUGAGGCUCUUUACAGUAUGAAUUGGGUACAUGUUUUCUAAUAUUACCAUGAUUUCAUUAUUAUCUUUGUUAAGUAAUUUAUUUUUUUGAUUUGUGCGGUUUUGGUUUUCAAAACAUACUUGUCGCUGCCAGAAAGGACAACUUUUAUUGUUGGCCUUAUAGCAAUGAUGGCAGAUAACUAUAAUGUUCUGGUAAAGCUAGAUUAAGUUGCAUUAAAUUUUUUGGGGUAAUGCUAUUGUCAUUUUUCUUUGAUGAGAAUUCAGAUUUGACGCUGGCUUCACUUUUCAAACUCAAAUUGAUAGGAAGGGAGUGAUAGUGAACAAGAGAACAAUGAUGGUUCAGGAAUUUUCGAAUACUUCCAAAUUGCAAGCGUGAGAGAGAGAUAAUUUUAACACCUCAAAGGAUCUUUUCCAAUCUCACUCAGUUGCUUCUACUGAUGGAUGCUUAUCAUUACUCAAAAGGAAACGCAAUGAUGCCAUGUUGAUGGUGUACAGAAUUAUGCAGGGAUAAGAGAGAAAAAAAAGUAACAGUUGUAUGUUGGAUCUUAAUAUUUGUCUUGUUUUUAAUAAUUAUUUGUGAAGUGAGGGAAGUGUGUAAUGUGGAAUAUUUUUAUUAAUAAAAGACAAGACAAAAUAUUAACAAA